GUUUAAGCGUAGAAUUUUAUAGAACAUUUUGGGAAGAAUUAAAAGAAUUCAUUGUAUCCACAUUUAAUUUUUCAUAUAACUAGAGGCUCCAAAGAGCCUGUGUCGCUCACCUUGGUCUAUGUGAAUAUUAAACAAAGGACGCAGAUGGAUUCAUGACAAAAUUGUGUUUUGGUGAUGGUGAUGUGUUUGUAAAUCUUACUUUACUGAACAUUCUUGCUGCUUACAAUUAUCUCUAUCUAUAAUGAACUUGGCCCAGUAGUUUCAGAGGAGAAGAUUUUUGUAAAAGAUAACUAAGAUUUACGAAAAAUGGUUCAAAAUUGACUAUAAAGGGCAAUAACUCCUAAAGGGGUCAACUGACCAUUUCAGUCAUGUUGACUUAUUUGUAAAUCUUACUUUGCUGAACAUUAUUGCUGUUUACAGUUUAUCUCUAUCUAUAAUAAUAUUCAAGAUAAUAACCAAAAACAGCAAAAUUUCCUUAAAAUUACCAAUUCAGGGGCAGCAACCCAACAACAGGUCGUCCGAUUCAUCUGAAAAUUUCAGGGCAGAUAGAUCUUGACCUGAUAAUCAAUUUUACUACAUGUCAGAUUUGCUCUAAAUGCUUUGGUUUUUGAGUUAUAAGCCAAAAACUGAAUUUUACCCCUAUGUUCUAUUUUUAGCUGUGGCGGCCAUCUUGGUUGGUUGGCCGGGUCACGCCACACAUUUUUUAAACUAGAUACCCCAAUGAUGAUUGUGGCCAAGUUUGGUUUAAUUUGGCCCAGUGGUUUCAGAGGAGAAGAUUUUUGUAAUAGAUUACUAAGAUUUACAAAAAAUGGUUAAAAAUUGACUAUAAAGGGCAAUAACUCCUAAAGGGGUCAACUGACCAUUUCAGUCAUGUUGACUUAUUUGUAAAUCUUACUUUGCUGAACAUUAUUGCUGUUUACAGUUUAUCUCUAUCUAUAAUAAUAUUCAAGAUAAAUAACCAAAAACAGCAAAAUUUCCUUAAAAUUACCAAUUCAGGGGCAGCAACCCAACAACAGGUUGUCCGAUUCAUCUGUAAAUUUCAGGGCAGAUAGAUCUUGACCUGAUAAUCAAUUUUUACCCGUCAGAUUUGCUCUAAAUGCUUUGGUUUUUGAGUUAUAAGCCAAAAACUGAAUUUUACCCCUAUGUUCUAUUUUUAGCUGUGGCGGCCAUCUUGGUUGGUUGGCCGGGUCACGCCACACAUUUUUUAAACUAGAUACCCCAAUUGUGAUUGUGGCCAAGUUGGUUUAAUUUGGCCCAGUAGUUUCAGAGGAGAAGAUUUUUGUAAAGAUUACUAAGAUUUACAAAAAUGGUUAAAAAUUGACUAUAAAGGGCAAUAACUCCUAAAGGGGUCAACUGACCAUUUCGGUCAUGUUGACUUAUUUGUAAAUCUUACUUUGCUGAACAUUAUUGCUGUUUACAGUUUAUCUCUAUCUAUAAUAAUAUUCAAGAUAAUAACCAAAAACAGCAAAAAUUCCCUUAAAAUUACCAAAUUCAGGGGCAGCAACCCAACAACGGGUUGUCCGAUUCAUCUGAAAAUUGCAGGGCAGAUAGAUCUUGACCUGAUAAACAAUUUUACCCCUGUCAGAUUUGCUCUAAAUGCUUUGGUUUUUGAGUUAUAAGCCAAAAAACUGCAUUUUACCCCUAUGUUCUAUUUUUAGCCAUGGCGGCCAUCUUGGUUGGUUGGCCGGGUCACGCCACACAUUUUUUAAACUAGAUACCCCAAUGAUGAUUGUGGCCAAG
rnacentral:lncRNA from 1 species